rnacentral:rRNA from 1 species
UACGUAGGGGGCAAGCGUUGUCCGGAAUUAUUGGGCGUAAAGAGCGUGUAGGCGGUCCGGUAAGUCAGCUGUGAAAGUCGGGGCUCAACCCUCGGAUGCCGGUGGAUACUGUCGGGCUUGAGUACGGAAGAGGCGAGUGGAAUUCCUGGUGUAGCGGUGAAAUGCGCAGAUAUCAGGAGGAACACCAAUUGCGAAGGCAGCUCGCUGGACGUUACUGACGCUGAGCUCGAAAGCGUGGGAGUCAAACAGG